rnacentral:rRNA from 1 species
CAGUAGCCACGGUAAUGCGAAGGGGGCUAGCGUUGCUCGGAAUUACUGGGCGUAAAGGGCGCGUAGGCGGACAGUUCAGUCGGGGGUGAAAGCCCGGGGCUCAACCUCGGAAUUGCCUUCGAUACUGGCUGUCUUGAGUAUGAGAGAGGUGUGUGGAACUCCGAGUGUAGAGGUGAAAUUCGUAGAUAUUCGGAAGAACACCAGUGGCGAAGGCGACACACUGGCUCAUUACUGACGCUGAGGCGCGAAAGCGUGGGGAGCAAACAGGAUUAGAUACCCCUGUAGUCCCUGUCUCUUAUAC